UGGGGAAUAUUGCACAAUGGGCGCAAGCCUGAUGCAGCCAUGCCGCGUGUAUGAAGAAGGCCUUCGGGUUGUAAAGUACUUUCAGCGGGGAGGAAGGGAGUAAAGUUAAUACCUUUGCUCAUUGACGUUACCCGCAGAAGAAGCACCGGCUAACUCCGUGCCAGCAGCCGCGGUAAUACGGAGGGUGCAAGCGUUAAUCGGAAUUACUGGGCGUAAAGCGCACGCAGGCGGUUUGUUAAGUCAGAUGUGAAAUCCCCGGGCUCAACCUGGGAACUGCAUCUGAUACUGGCAAGCUUGAGUCUCGUAGAGGGGGGUAGAAUUCCAGGUGUAGCGGUGAAAUGCGUAGAGAUCUGGAGGAAUACCGGUGGCGAAGGCGGCCCCCUGGACGAAGAUUGACGCUCAGGUGCGAAAGCGUGGGGAGCAAACAGG
rnacentral:rRNA from 2 species